rnacentral:rRNA from 1 species
GAUGGACGCUGGCGGCGUGCUUAACACAUGCAAGUCGAACGGAAAUGUAAGGAAGCCUAGCGAAUUACAUUUUAGUGGCGGACGGGUGAGUAACGCGUGGAUAACCUGCCUUAUACUGGGGGAUAACAGUUAGAAAUGACUGCUAAUACCGCAUAAGCAUACGAAACCGCAUGGUUUUGUGUGAAAAACUCCGGUGGUAUAAGAUGGAUCCGCGUCUGAUUAGCUAGUUGGUGAGGUAAUGGCUCACCAAGGCGACGAUCAGUAGCCGGCCUGAGAGGGUGAACGGCCACAUUGGGACUGAGACACGGCCCAAACUCCUACGGGAGGCAGCAGUGGGGAAUAUUGCACAAUGGGCGAAAGCCUGAUGCAGCGACGCCGCGUGAGUGAAGAAGUAUUUCGGUAUGUAAAGCUCUAUCAGCAAGGAAGAAAAUGACGGUACUUGACUAAGAAGCCCCGGCUAACUACGUG